rnacentral:rRNA from 1 species
ACGACCCCAGGUCAGGCGGGGCCACCCGCUGAGCUUAA